UACACAACCCCUCCCUAAAAAAGAAACAUAGUUGAAGAAACCCUAGAUCUGCCGCACAAGUUGUUCCUCUCCUAAUCAAGGCGAUUCUCCAUCUUCACUUCGUCAUCCCUUCAUCAUCUUCAAUUUAUGACUUCUGUGUUGAACUCACACUCAAUGGCGGCCAGAAACACACUCCUCAUGUACCGGCGUGACACCAGUUCUUCAAUCUUUAUGCGCUCAAAACCCUAGCAUAAUCAUUCUUAAGUAUUUUCCUGUUCCAAACACAUUGAAACCCUAAUGUGUUCCACUUCCUCUAAUCGUCGAUUCCACCUCCACAAUCCUGCACCUCUCGACUUGUAAAAAGAUGAGAUUGAAGUUGUAGAUGGCAAAGAAAUUGACCCGGAGAUUGUGCCGACGUCAUUUCGGAAUUGAUACAUUACACAUCUGCAAGAAACGUGGAUUGAUUUACAGUUCAGAUGCCAUUGAUUCAAAUAAUUGUGUCUCAAGUUAUGAAUCUAAAGCCGCAACUUAUAGAUUCCUUAAAGGAUGAGGAAGAUGUAAAGGCGAUUGCUCGAUUAUUUGCUGAUAUCGGCGAUUCCUAUGUUGAAUUGAUUGCAACCGACAACAAAGCAAGGCUGGUCAUCCAUGGAUUUAUAAAGAAGGUGUUGUAUGAAAGAAAUAUGAAUAAACCAUUGCACCAAGUGAUGAGGAUUUUUCAAGCAUCACAGACGGUACUUACACAAAAUCAAAGGUUCUGAAAAUGGAGAGUCAAGUUCUGAACAUUUUGAAUUUUCACCUUUCACCACCAACAGUACAAACAUUUCUCAGGAGAUUUAUAAGAGCAGCACAAGCUUCCUAUCAGAGCCUGAGUCUUGAAUAGGAGUUUUUGGCAAGUUAUCUAGCUGAGUUGACCCUGAUUGACUAUAAUUUCUUGGUAUUUGUUCCAUCAAAUAUUGCUCCAGCGGCUAUGUUUCUUGCCAGAUGGAAGCUAGAUCAGUCGGGCCACCCUUGGGAGUCAAGGAGCAUUAACGAGAUUGCUUGCAUGAGAAAAACCUACAUAGCUGGUGCUUUAAGGGGCUUUUUGGUAAUUUAGGUAAUUUUAUGAAUGUUUAUGAUGCGGUGGUGGUUAGGGCAGGAAGUGCUGGACUUCGAGUCGAUAUAUGGCUGUCUGAGCAUGGAUUUAAUAUUGCUUUCCGACUUGAUCACACACUGUCACUGCUCAGCAAGGUUUUAAUGCAACAGUGGAUAAGCACCAGCAUGGAGUAGGUCAUGAGGUGUUUCAUCUAUAUGGCAAAGCUUAAAGCUCUAUUCGGAUUAAUCACAUCUGGGUAUCUCUUCAAUUCGUGAUGAACAAAUGAAUUUUCAAGGGUAUGCAACGUGACGAUGGGAUCGAGAUGCGUGACCCAUUCAACAUUGUUGGGUCACUCCGUUUAGACAAGUGGCAGGGGGGUGCCCGGGUCGCUGCCGACCCAGUUUGAUACGGCGUCUAUUUGUGCCAACACGUUUCUGUAGUUGAAAUAUCUUGAUAUAAACCCAACCCGUAUGGGUCUGGUUCUUACUUUCAUCAAACUCUAUACACAUUUUUUGCUUAUUCUUUCAAAUUCUGUUGUAGAAACAUAGACAUUUUGUGACUGAACUGAAUAUUAAAAGAACAAUGGUUUACCUUCAUUUUGUGUACAUCGUAUUUGAUUGGUAUUUCUUCAUUUUGCAAAUGCUGUUCUACUACCAAUUUAUCUACAAAAUUCACAGAAGUGGUUGCACCCGAGAUUCAGACAUCCAUAUGGCACUUGGCUAAGAGGGCGUUGCUUGCUCUGAGAGGGCUCGGGCGUUGCGUACUCAAGGUCAAACAGUUAAAUGUAAAGCAACCUCCACCUUGAAAUGUAUGCAGACAUUGGCUAGACAUUGGCUUGUGCACUGUCUCAGGUUUAGUUGAGGUGUGCGUUUGUAUGUCCGAGGAUAACAUAGUUGUCUAAGAACUCUUUUGAAGGUUAAUAAAGAUUUCAACAACAUUACAUGGGACCGAGCGAGAUAUUACAAAGAACACCUCAUUAUAUGAGCAAGUUUGUGUUGUUAUACCAGACAUAUUGCUCACUUUGAUGGACCUGACAUGCAGAGGAUGAAAUAGAGAAGUAUUAUGAAACUCAUGAUUGCUAAGUGCGGAUUAAGCGUUCAACAUAUUUUCCAGGGGUGCGGUCAGAUUUUUUGCCUAAGAUAUACAUUAGUUUUUUUUCAAGUGAUGUCCCCGUCCACCCACGACUAUGGAUAAGUCCUCCAUGCAUCCCAUAUUCCUUACCAAUGUUGAAAUUUUACUAAAAAUGGUUCAUGUGUCGAUGCUUCAGUUACAUGUGUCAUGCCACCAUUUCUUUUGGAACUUUUAAUCUUAUUAAUUAAUAGAAGUAUUUAUAAUAUUUUGUUCUUUUA